AUUGAACGUUGGCGGCAUGCCUUACACAUGCAAGUCGAACGGCAGCACGGGAGCAAUCCUGGUGGCGAGUGGCGAACGGGUGAGUAAAGUAUCGGAACGUGCCCAGUCGUGGGGGAUAACGUAGCGAAAGUUACGCUAAUACCGCAUACGAUCUAUGGAUGAAAGCGGGGGAUCGCAAGACCUCGCGCGAUUGGAGCGGCCGAUAUCAGAUUAGGUAGUUGGUGGGGUAAAGGCUCACCAAGCCGACGAUCUGUAGCUGGUCUGAGAGGACGACCAGCCACACUGGGACUGAGACACGGCCCAGACUCCUACGGGAGGCAGCAGUGGGGAAUUUUGGACGAUGGGCGAAAGCCUGAUCCAGCCAUGCCGCGUGCAGGAUGAAGGCCUUCGGGUUGUAAACUGCUUUUGUACGGAACGAAAAGGUUUGGCCUAAUAAGCUGAGCUCAUGACGGUACCGUAAGAAUAAGCACCGGCUAACUACGUGCCAGCCGCCGCCGCGG
rnacentral:rRNA from 1 species